rnacentral:miRNA from 1 species
UCCACUGUUGCGUUUUUCAUACGUACGUAUACGCACGUAAAACUUUAAAUCCGUUUAAAUGUUACUUAUGAAAUAACCAAAUAAAUAAAGCAACAGAAUUUAGUGUUCCGCAAGUUUUAGUAUGCAUUAAUUGCAUUUGUUAACUUAUUUGUAAAAUAUUUAAAAAAUAGAACGAUUCAAAGUUUUACGUGCGUAUACGUGCGUACGGAAAACGCAACAGUGGA